rnacentral:rRNA from 1 species
AUGCGUAGGGGUUCUGAGAGGAAGGUCCCCCACACUGGUACUGAGACACGGACCAGACUCCUACGGGAGGCAGCAGUGAGGAAUAUUGGUCAAUGGCCGGGAGGCUGAACCAGCCAAGUCGCGUGAGGGAAGACGGCCCUACGGGUUGUAAACCUCUUUUGUCAGGGAGCAAGAGGCGGGUCGAGACCUGCUGUGAGAGUACCUGAAGAAAAAGCAUCGGCUAACUCCGUGCCAGCAGCCGCGGUAAUACGGAGGAUGCGAGCGUUAUCCGGAUUUAUUGGGUUUAAAGGGUGCGCAGGCGGAGGCACAAGUCAGCGGUAAAAUCGCGGGGCUCAACCCCGCUCCGCCGUUGAAACUGUGUCCCUUGAGUGCGCGAAGGGUAGGCGGAAUGCGUGGUGUAGCGGUGAAAUGCAUAGAUAUCACGCAGAACUCCGAUCGCGAAGGCAGCCUACCGGCGCGCAACUGACGCUCAUGCACGAAAGCGUGGGUAUCGAACAGGAUUAGAUACCCUGGUAGUCCACGCAGUAAACGAUGAAUGCUAUCUGUCCGGCCGGAAUGACGGCUGG